rnacentral:rRNA from 1 species
GCUGAGGCGUGAUGACGAGGCACUACGGUGCUGAAGCAACAAAUGCCCUGCUUCCAGGAAAAGCCUCUAAGCAUCAGGUAACAUCAAAUCGUACCCCAAACCGACACAGGUGGUCAGGUAGAGAAUACCAAGGCGCUUGAGAGAACUCGGGUGAAGGAACUAGGCAAAAUGGUGCCGUAACUUCGGGAGAAGGCACGCUGAUAUGUAGGUGAAGUCCCUCGCGG